AGUGAACGCUGGCGGUAGGCCUAACACAUGCAAGUCGAACGGCAGCACAGUAAGAGCUUGCUCUUACGGGUGGCGAGUGGCGGACGGGUGAGGAAUACAUCGGACUCUACUUUUUCGUGGGGGAUAACGUAGGGAAACUUACGCUAAUACCGCAUACGACCUACGGGUGAAAGCAGGGGAUCUUCGGACCUUGCGCGAUUGAAUGAGCCGAUGUCGGAUUAGCUAGUUGGCGGGGUACAGGCCCACCAAGGCGACGAUCCGUAGCUGGUCUGAGAGGAUGAUCAGCCACACUGGAACUGAGACACGGUCCAGACGCCUACGGGAGGCAGCAGUGGGGAAUAGUGGACAAGGGGCGCAAGCCUGAUCCAGCCAUACCGCGUGGGUGAAGAAGGCCUUCGGGUUGUAAAGCCCUUUUGUUGGGAAAGAAAAGCAGCAGGUUAAUACCCCGCUGUUCUGACGGUACCCAAAGAAUAAGCACCGGCUAACUUCGUG
rnacentral:rRNA from 1 species